GACGAACCGUGCGAACGUUAUUCGGAAUCACUGGGCUUAAAGGGCGCGUAGGCGGGCUGACAAGUCUGGGGUGAAAUACCACGGCUCAACCGUGGAACUGCCUCAGAUACUGUCGGCCUCGAGGGAGGUAGGGGCGUGCGGAACUGUAGGUGGAGCGAUGAAAUGCGUUGAUAUCUACAGGAACUCCGGUGGCGAAAGCGGCGCGCUGGACCUCUUCUGACGCUGAGGCGCGAAAGCCAGGGGAGCAAACGGG
rnacentral:rRNA from 1 species